rnacentral:rRNA from 1 species
AUUGAACGCUGGCGGCAGGCUUAACACAUGCAAGUCGAGCGGUAACAGGUCUAGCUUGCUAGAUGCUGACGAGCGGCGGACGGGUGAGUAACGCGUAGAAAACUGCCCAGUAGUGGGGGAUAGCCCGGUGAAAACCGGAUUAAUACCGCAUACGCUCUACGGAGGAAAGAGGGGGCUUCGGCUCUCGCCCUUAGAUGUGUCUGCGUGGGAUUAGCUAGUUGGUGAGGUAAUGGCUCACCAAGGCGACGAUCUCUAGCUGGUCUGAGAGGAUGAUCAGCCACACUGGAACUGAGACACGGUCCAGACUCCUACGGGAGGCAGCAGUGGGGAAUAUUGCACAAUGGGCGCAAGCCUGAUGCAGCCAUGCCGCGUGUGUGAAGAAGGCUUUCGGGUUGUAAAGCACUUUCAGCGGGGAGGAAGGCUAAGUAGUUAAUACCACGGCUAGCUGUGACGUUACUCGCAGAAGAAGGACCGGCUAACUCCGUGCCAGCAGCCGCGGUAAUACGGAGGGUCCGAGCGUUAAUCGGAAUUACUGGGCGUAAAGCGUACGCAGGCGGUUUGUUAAGCGAGAUGUGAAAGCCCCGGGCUCAACCUGGGAACUGCAUUUCGAACUGACAAACUAGAGUUUUGUAGAGGGUGGUAGAAUUUCAGGUGUAGCGGUGAAAUGCGUAGAGAUCUGAAGGAAUACCAGUGGCGAAGGCGGCCACCUGGACAAUAACUGACGCUCAUGUACGAAAGCGUGGGGAGCAAACGGGAUUAGAUACCCCGGUAGUCCACGCCGUAAACGAUGUCAACUAGCCGACUGGACCCUUGAGGUCUGGGUGGCGCCUAACGCAUUAAGUCGCCUGGGGAGUACGGACGCAAGUUUAAAACUCAAAUGAAUUGACGGGGGCCCGCACAAGCGGUGGAGCAUGUGGUUUAAUUCGAUGCAACGCGAAGAACCUUACCAAUCCUUGACAUCCAGAGAAUCCUUUAGAAAUAGAGGAGUGCCUUCGGGAACUCUGUGACAGGUGCUGCAUGGCUGUCGUCAGCUCGUGUUGUGAAAUGUUGGGUUAAGUCCCGUAACGAGCGCAACCCCUAUCCUUAGUUACCAGCGAUUCGGUCGGGAACUCUAGGGAGACUGCCGGUGACAAACCGGAGGAAGGUGGGGACGACGUCAAGUCAUCAUGGCCCUUACGGAUUGGGCUACACACGUGCUACAAUGGGGCAUACAGAGGGUUGCAAUACCGCGAGGUGGAGCUAAUCUCAGAAAGUGUCUCGUAGUCCGGAUUGGAGUCUGCAACUCGACUCCAUGAAGUCGGAAUCGCUAGUAAUCGCGGAUCAGAAUGCCGCGGUGAAUACGUUCCCGGGCCUUGUACACACCGCCCGUCACACCAUGGGAGUGGGAUGCACCAGAAAGUAGGUAGCUUAACCUUAGGGAGGGCGCUUACCACGGAGGAUCAGAUGGGGGA